CAGCCGCCGCGGUAAUACGAAGGGUGCGAGCGUUAAUCGGAAUUACUGGGCGUAAAGCGUGCGCAGGCGGUUGUGUAAGACAGGUGUGAAAUCCCCGGGCUUAACCUGGGAACUGCGCUUGUGACUGCACAGCUAGAGUAUGGCAGAGGGGGGUGGAAUUCCACGUGUAGCAGUGAAAUGCGUAGAGAUGUGGAGGAACACCGAUGGCGAAGGCAGCCCCCUGGGCCAAUACUGACGCUCAUGCACGAAAGCGUGGGGAGCAAACAGGAUUAGAUACCCCUGUAGUCCCUGUCUCUUAUAC
rnacentral:rRNA from 1 species